rnacentral:piRNA from 1 species
UACAAAGGGACCCGGAAAAUGAAUUCUU